rnacentral:misc_RNA from 1 species
CGCACCUUGCGCUCCUUGGUAUUCCGAGGAGCAUGCCUGUUUGAGUGUCAUGAAAUUCUCAACCUUUCUGAAUUUUUCAGUUAGGCUUGGAAUUGGAAGUUGCUGGUUCAUUACGAAUCAGCUCUUCUUAAAUAUAUUAGCAGUCCUUUGCUGACCAUCAUUAGUAUGAUAAUUAUCUAUACUAUUGACGCUCGGUGUCCCUAGUGGAGGGGAUUCGCUUCUAAUCGUCUUUCGAGACAAUUUUGACGACUUUGACCUCAAAUCAGGUAGGACUACCCGCUGAACUUAA